GUAGGUGGCAAGCGUUGUCCGGAAUUAUUGGGCGUAAAGCGCGCGCAGGCGGUUCUUUAAGUCUGAUGUGAAAGCCCACGGCUCAACCGUGGAGGGUCAUUGGAAACUGGAAAACUUGAGUACAGAAGAGGAAAGCGGAAUUCCACGUGUAGCGGUGAAAUGCGUAGAGAUGUGGAGGAACACCAGUGGCGAAGGCGGCUUUCUGGUCUGUAACUGACGCUGAGGCGCGAAAGCGUGGGGAGCAAACAGGGAUUAGAUACCCUGGUAGUCCACGCCGUAACGAUGAGUGCUAAGUGUUAGGGGGUUUCCCGCCCCCUUAGUGCUGCAGCUAACGCAUUAAGCACUCCGCCUGGGGGUAGUACGGCCCGCAAGGCUG
rnacentral:rRNA from 1 species